UACGUAGGGUCCGAGCGUUGUUCGGAAUUACUGGGCGUAAAGGGCUCGUAGGCGGCCAACUAAGUCAGACGUGAAAUCCCCAGGCUCAACCUGGGAACUGCGUCUGAUACUGGAUGGCUUGAAUCCGGGAGAGGGAUGCAGAAUUCCAGGUGUAGCGGUGAAAUGCGUAGAUAUCUGGAGGAAUACCGGUGGCGAAGGCGGCAUCCUGGACCGGCAUUGACGCUGAGGAGCGAAAGCCAGGGGAGCAAACAGG
rnacentral:rRNA from 1 species